rnacentral:rRNA from 1 species
CCAGCAGCCGCGGUAAUUCCAGCUCCAAUAGCGUAUAUUAAAGUUGUUGCAGUUAAAAAGCUCGUAGUUGAACUUUGGACUUGGCUGGGCGGUCUUUGCGAAUGCAUAGCACUUCUCUGGCCGAGUCUUUCCUUCUGGCGAACUAUUGUGCUAUUUAUUUAGUGCGAUAGGGAACCAGGACUUUUACUUUGAAAAAAUUAGAGUGUUUAAAGCAGGCUUACGCUUGAAUACAUUAGCAUGGAAUAAUAAAAUAGGACUUUGGUUUUAUUUUGUUGGUUUUCGAAACCAAAGUAAUGAUUAAUAGGGACAGUUGGGGGCAUUACUAUUGAGCCGUCAGAGGUGAA